GUGGGUUCUCAGGUGAUGCACCCUGGAACCAGAGAGGUGGAAGUCUGAUUCCGGGGUGCAUCACCUAAGAACCAC
rfam:Myotis davidii contig212409, whole genome shotgun sequence.